GGGGUCGACUGGUUUUGACAACAGGAAUGAUUAUGACAGUUUGCAAGUCGAGCACUAGAAAAUAGCUCGUAAAUCAUCUUUUCUAAAUAUUUAAUUGGCGAAAAUAAUUACGCUCUAGCUGCCUAGACUAUCCAUUAGUUUAAAGCAUAACUCGAAUAGAUCGAGAAAGUUAGAUGUCUUCAAGAAUAGCCUUGGUUGACGGCGAUUCUUCAAAGGCACCAAAAAAAGUCAACAUAGAAUGGUUGGGUGCACUUUCUGUUUGAAAAUUUUUAGCACUAAGGAAAUUAGUUGGAUGUUUCUGGCCAAUAAUUUCUCGAAAAUUAAAGAGAAACUAAGCUUGUAGAAAACCGAUGAUCACUUGUUUGGACGCGGGUUCGAUUCCCGCCGACUCCACUU
rnacentral:tmRNA from 1 species